rnacentral:rRNA from 1 species
UCCUCCCUCUUUCUUCGUGCUUAACACAUGCAAGUCGAACGGAAAGGCCCUGCUUUUGUGGGGUGCUCGAGUGGCGAACGGGUGAGUAACACGUGAGUAACCUGCCCUUGACUUUGGGAUAACUUCAGGAAACUGGGGCUAAUACCGGAUAGGAGCUCCUGCUGCAUGGUGGGGGUUGGAAAGUUUCGGCGGUUGGGGAUGGACUCGCGGCUUAUCAGCUUGUUGGUGGGGUAGUGGCUUACCAAGGCUUUGCAGGGUAGCCGGCCUGAGCGGGUGACCGGCCACAUUGGGACUGAGAUACGGCCCAGACUCCUACGGGAGGCAGCAGUGGGGAAUAUUGCACAAUGGGCGGAAGCCUGAUGCAGCAACGCCGCGUGCGGGAUGACGGCCUUCGGGUUGUAAACCGCUUUCGCCUGUGACGAAGCGUGAGUGACGGUAAUGGGUAAAGAAGCACCGGCUAACUACGUG